AGAUCAUCUUCAUUCUCCUGGUAGAACACCGCUAAGUUGGCGAACUAGAAUCCAAAUUGCGAUUGACGUAGCUAAUGCAUUGGAGUACCUUCAUUUAUAUUGUGAUCCUCCUUUGUGCCAUAGAGACAUUAAGUCUAGCAACAUUUUUCUGGAUGAAAAUUUUGUUGCUAAGGUGGGAUAACUAUUCAUCCUCUUUUUUCAGAACUGAAUAGUUCAAAAACUGCACAAAUUUUAUGAUGCAGUAAUAUUUAGAUAGUCAUAGACACCUUUUAAGUGUUAAUUGAUUCGGUUUUUUUCCUGUGUCACAUCGUUUCACAGAUAGCCGAUUUUGGCCUUGCACAGGCAUCAAAAAAUGGUUCGA